rnacentral:rRNA from 1 species
CCUACGGGGGGCUGCAGUGGGGAAUUUUGGACAAUGGGCGAAAGCAUGAUCCAGCCAUGCCGCGUGCAGGAUGAAGGCCUUCGGGUUGUAAACUGCUUUUGUACGGAACGAAAAAGUCUUCUCUAAUACAGGGGGCGAAUGACGGUACCGUAAGAAUAAGCACCGGCUAACUACGUGCCAGCAGCCGCGGUAAUACGUAGGGUGCGAGCGUGAAUCGGAAUUACUGGGCGUAAAGCGUAAGCAGGCGGUGAAAUCCCCGGGCUCAACCUGGGAACUGCAUUAGUGACUGUAUAGCUAGAGUGCGGCAGAGGGGGAUGGAAUUCCGCGUGUAGCAGUGAAAUGCGUAGAUAUGCGGAGGAACACCGAUGGCGAAGGCAAUCCCCUGGGCCUGCACUGACGCUCAUGCACGAAAGCGUGGGGAGCAAACAGGAUUAGAUACCCUUGUAGUC